GUGCUCGCUGUGGCAGCGCAUACACUAAAACGGGAGAUUCUGAGAAGAUGAGGAUGGUUCCUGAGCAAGGACGACACGCAAAUUCCGGAAUCGUUCCAUGUUUUU
rnacentral:snRNA from 1 species